CGAAGGGUGCAAGCGUUACUCGGAAUUACUGGGCGUAAAGCGUGCGUAGGUGGUGGUUUAAGUCAGAUGUGAAAAGCCCUGGGCUCAACCUGGGAACUGCAUUUGAUACUGGGUCACUAGAGUGUGGUAGAGGAUAGCGGAAUUCCUGGUGUAGCAGUGAAAUGCGUAGAGAUCAGGAGGAACAUCCGUGGCGAAGGCGGCUAUCUGGGGCCAACACUGACACUGAGGCACGAAAGCGUGGGAGCAAACAGGAUU
rnacentral:rRNA from 1 species